rnacentral:lncRNA from 1 species
UCUGGACUAGUUCAAAAAAUUUGUAAAGUAUCUAAGAACAUAUCACUAUGUAUGUAUCUGUACACAUAUAUAUAAACUCUCAUAAUCUGUUCAAGAGAUCAAUGAAGGUGUCUUCUUUGCAUGGUAUUGUGAGGCCGCCUUCUGGAUGACUAAACCCAAAUUCUUCCUCAGCUUGACUUAACAGGUCUUGAAACGUAGGCUCAUCUAAGUAUGAGAUCGGAACCACAAAUCUUCUUCUCUGGUUCUCCCCAACAUAAACUGCCAUGCAUCCCUUAGGGACAUUUGUACUACGAUCAAGAUAUGUGGAGGAGGAUUGGCGGUUUAGAAUAUGCUUGAGACUAGUGAUACGAGGAACACGGAUACCCAUGAUGCUAACAAAAAAUUUGUAGUAUUCAGGAUAAACUCUGCUGAUAUUGAAAUACAAGGACUUUUGCAGAUGGAAGGCUUAGACACUUGAAUACAAUUGAUUAUGUGAUGAAUUUGGUUGAGUUUGUGAUAGCGGUUUUAUAGAGCUCGGAAGUAUUGAACAGUUGAUUGAAAUGCAGAUUGAGUGGCACAGAUGCAUUAGGCAUUAGCACAUGCUAUUCUCUUUCAAUGGCCACAUAUGUUUAAGACUAAUGGUAAGACUUAAAUGUCUGUUAAGAGACAUCAUGUCCUACUACUUUUGCUCAACUAAUCUGAACCUGAUAUCUUCUUAUUCAACCAUAUGUUUGAUGCUUAUAGCAUAGCUAAGAGAGUAUAUAAGCCUAAAAUACACUUAUAUGAACGCCAUACAAAUAAUUUGGGUGGAAACUCUUGAGUUUUAGGUGGGACAGACAAGUUAGGUGCCCAUGUGAUGGUGUUCUCUUCCCCUGUGUUAGCUGUUUAUUUUGUUGAUUUGAUGAAUCAUUUAGUAGAAAACAGUGGCUGCUGGGGCUUAAUCAAGCAGACGCAGUAAGGUUGAUGUCUCGCAACACACAGAAAUCAAAUAUUCUUGGUCUUAUAUACUUGUGCUAGUGUCUACUGCUUCUUCACCACUCGGAUAAUAUUUCUAAUAAAUUGUUUAAGUAGUUCUAUGUUCUAUAUAUACUUAUAUUUAAGCAUUAGUAGAAUUCAUCACAAACUCAAUUGCUUCAAGCUUUAAACUUACAUUUCCUUGUGUUUCUGUUGUUUUCCUCAACUCUUCAGUAAAAGAUCCUUGAUAAGUAGGGGCAUGCUGUCUUGCAACAGACAGAGAAGUCAUUCAAUCAGUCAUAAAUAUAUGUAGCUAUUGAAAGAGAAAAUCAUGUGCUAGUGUCUAAUGCCUCUUCACCACUCAAGUUACAUUUUAAAGAACUGUUCAAUUUUCUAUAUAAAUACAUAGCUGGGCAUUAGUAAAAUUCAUCUCAAACUCAACUGUCUAAAGUCUUCACUAUACAAUUCCUUUUCUUUCUCCAUAUUCUCUAAUUGAUCUAAUAGUAUUAUGGGUAUUCGUAUGCCUCGUGUUACCAAUCUCAAGAAUAUCCUAAACCCGUCUUCUUUCUUGAUAAGUCCUGAUUAUACUUCAACAGUUCCGAAGGGUUGCUUGGCAGUAUAUAUUGGGGAGAAGCAAAGAAGACGAUUUGUGGUCCCCGUUUCAUACCUGAAUAAUCCUGCCUUCCAGGACUUGUUAAAUCAAGCUGAGGAAGAAUUUGGGUUCAGCCAACCAGAAGGCGGCCUCACUAUUCCCUGCUCAGUGGAAACAUUCAUCCACCUUACUUCGAGCCUAGAUAGAAUAUAGUCAGAAAACAUUUAUGUACAGGUAGAUAGUACAGCAUUAAAAUGUAAUUAGUAGAAAGGAGAAUUUUAUAGAUUUUGUUGGCAACGGAUAAUUUGAAACUCACCAUUUUGUUGAAUUUAACAUUACCAAAAUUUAUUGAUCAUAGUUUCUACUUAUAAAUUUAGAUAUAAAAAGAGACCAUGCAACUAUUAAACUGAUGGAGAGAAAUUAUUACACAGCACACGGAUUUCCUUUAUGAAUCUUAAGUAUCCAAGAAGAUAUAAAAAGGCCAGAAUCUGAAAAACUAACUCCAUCUGACUUCGCAUAGAAAAGAAGAUGUUACAUGUGGAAACUCCCAUAUCUUCAAGCAGUCUAAUCAUCCAGGUACUUCAGCGGCAGCAAGAGCAGUUCCUUAGAUUUUAGGCAUCUAGGAAAUUUUUUCUGAUUACAAUGAGACAGCAGUUUUUCUUGUGUCUUGGCAACCUGGUGCAUGUAAUGAAAGAUGAUUUAAACUGUGAAUAUCGUCUGGUCAGAGUUGGAAAGUUAAACUGUGAACCUAUAGAUGAUGUUCUUGAAAAUACAGCAAAUUUUAUAUAAAAUGAUUGUUGAAUGCAGACAGGUUUACAUAUUAUCCUUUAGAUACUUAAAUGAAAAACAAAUGGAAUGACACAUGAAGACUACAAAAAAACCUGCACAACUGAAAUUGGAGGGUUGAGUUUGUCAACAAUUAGAGUGAUCUCGGUAACUCCAGGAUAGCAAUAUAUAUGAAUAAAUAGAUUUGACUAAACAAAAGAAAUUCUUCACUGAUGAUUUCUAAAAAACAUAUUUCUGCGUAAUGAGAUGGUUACUCUAAUCUUCCCUAGGUCAUCAAAUGGAAGUGGACUGACUACUAACAAUUCGGCUGGGUACUAACAUAGUACCCAGCCGAAUUGUUAGUACCAGAUAAUAGCUAUUUGUUUCUUAUAUUUGCGCAAGACUAAAGUGAGGUUAACAGAUGUAUUAUACAUGGAAAAGCCACUUCAGACUACAAAGACCUGGAAAUUUCUCUUCUCUUGAACACUUACAUUUGUGAUUGGAACCAAUAAUGUAUAAAACUGCUAAUCUGUAUUUAUAAUAAAAACUACUUAUAGAGAUAUAUAAUGACUACAUAAUGAUUGCAGAGAUCAAAUCUAUGUAGAAAUUGAUGUAAUCAAAUUACAAAGUAUCAGCUAAUGCUCUCCCUAAAAGAUUUAUAUGAGAGUCAUAUAUAAAAUUUCUGGACUAGUUUACAAAAUUUGUACACUAUCUAACAACAUAUAUAUAAACUCUCAUAAUCUGUUCAAGAGAUCAAGGAAGGUGUCUUCUUUGCAUGGAAUUGUGAGGCCGCCUUCUGGAUGACUAAACCCAAAUUCUUCCUCAGCCUGACUUAACAGGUCUUGGAACGUAGGCUCGUUUAAGUAAGAGAUCGGAACUACAAAUCUUCUUCUUUGGUUCUCCCCAACAUAAACUGCAACACAUCCCUUUGGGACAUUUGUACUACAAUCAAGGUUUUUUAAAGAAAAUUGUCUGUUGAGAAUUUGCUUUAGAUUAGUGAUAUGAGGCACACGAAUACCCAUGAUGCCUUAAGAAAAAUCGAAAUUUCAACGUAUAAUCUCCGGGGAUAUAGAAAAUACAAGAACUUAUGCAGAUGGUAGGCUUAGACCCUUAAUUCCACAAGAUUUUGUGAUGAAUUUGGUUGAGGAGAUUUUGUGAUGAAUUUGGUUGAGGAUAUCACAGUUUUUAUAUGGAAAUAACAAGUAAUGAGCGGUUGAUCAAAAUACAGAUCGAGUGGCACAGAUGCAUCAGGCAAUAGCACAUGGUAUUCUCUUUCAAAGGCCACACAUAUUUAAGAGUAAUGCUAGGACUUGAAUGUCUGCUGAGAGACAUCAUGUCCUAUGGCUUCUGUUCAACAAAUCUGGACCUGAUAUGUUUUAUAUUUUAAGCUUAUGGUGGAGAUAAGACAGAAUAUAACGUAAUAUAUACGGAUAUGAACAACAUACAAAUAAUUUGGCUGGAAAGUUCUCACUUUGCCUGGCAAGCAAGGUAGCAAAUUUUAAGUUUUUAGUUUUUGUGGUCAGUAGUCUGAGUGGGACAAACAAGUUAGGUACUCAUGUGAUAGUGUUUUCAUUCACCUCAUAUAAGUUUCUGUAAGAAACAGAUUAUCAGACUGGUAGGAAACACCUCAUAUAAGUUUCAUGUGAUGGUGUUUUCUUGACCUAUCUCAGCUGUUUCUUUUGUUGAAUUGAUGGUCUAGCUGCAUUAUGUCAAAAUAUCAACUUGAAGCUGGAAGAAACACUGUCACAUGAACACUUAUUAUUUCAAACCCAAAUCAUGUGCUAGUGUCUAAAGCCUACUCACUGCUCAAUGUACAAUUUGAUGAGAUGUUCUACACAACUUCCUCAUUGUUCUAUAUAAAUACAUAAUUAAGCGACUAACAUUCAUCACAAACUCACUGGUCUAAAGUCUUUUCCUUAAAACUGUACAAGUCCUAGUGUUUCUUCAGUUUUCUGAACUCUUCUCUGAAAGAUCUAUAGUGUCAUGGGUAUCCGUAUGCUUCGUAUUACUAAUCUCAAACAAAUCCUUAACCUCUCAUCUUUCUUAUUAAAUCCUGAUCUUACUUCAACGAUUCCAAAGGGGUGCUUGGCAGUUUAUAUUGGGGAGAGGCAAAGAAGCCGAUAUGUGGUACCUAUUUCAUACCUGAAUGAGCCUGCCUUUCAAGAUUUGUUAAGUCAAGCCGAGGAAGAAUUUGGUUUCAAUCAUCCGGAAGGAGGUCUUACAAUUCCUUGCUCAGUGGACACAUUCAAUGAAAUCACUUCGCGCCUGAACAAUUUAUAUACUUGUAGAUAGUACAGCACCUCCGACCUCAUUUAUUGAGUUUCUGAGUGUAAAUUGUAGAACAAAUAGAUUUUUCAUAUAUGAUUUGUAGGGAANGAAAUUUCAACGUAUAAUCUCCGGGGAUAUAGAAAAUACAAGAACUUAUGCAGAUGGUAGGCUUAGACCCUUAAUUCCACAAGAUUUUGUGAUGAAUUUGGUUGAGGAGAUUUUGUGAUGAAUUUGGUUGAGGAUAUCACAGUUUUUAUAUGGAAAUAACAAGUAAUGAGCGGUUGAUCAAAAUACAGAUCGAGUGGCACAGAUGCAUCAGGCAAUAGCACAUGGUAUUCUCUUUCAAAGGCCACACAUAUUUAAGAGUAAUGCUAGGACUUGAAUGUCUGCUGAGAGACAUCAUGUCCUAUGGCUUCUGUUCAACAAAUCUGGACCUGAUAUGUUUUAUAUUUUAAGCUUAUGGUGGAGAUAAGACAGAAUAUAACGUAAUAUAUACGGAUAUGAACAACAUACAAAUAAUUUGGCUGGAAAGUUCUCACUUUGCCUGGCAAGCAAGGUAGCAAAUUUUAAGUUUUUAGUUUUUGUGGUCAGUAGUCUGAGUGGGACAAACAAGUUAGGUACUCAUGUGAUAGUGUUUUCAUUCACCUCAUAUAAGUUUCUGUAAGAAACAGAUUAUCAGACUGGUAGGAAACACCUCAUAUAAGUUUCAUGUGAUGGUGUUUUCUUGACCUAUCUCAGCUGUUUCUUUUGUUGAAUUGAUGGUCUAGCUGCAUUAUGUCAAAAUAUCAACUUGAAGCUGGAAGAAACACUGUCACAUGAACACUUAUUAUUUCAAACCCAAAUCAUGUGCUAGUGUCUAAAGCCUACUCACUGCUCAAUGUACAAUUUGAUGAGAUGUUCUACACAACUUCCUCAUUGUUCUAUAUAAAUACAUAAUUAAGCGACUAACAUUCAUCACAAACUCACUGGUCUAAAGUCUUUUCCUUAAAACUGUACAAGUCCUAGUGUUUCUUCAGUUUUCUGAACUCUUCUCUGAAAGAUCUAUAGUGUCAUGGGUAUCCGUAUGCUUCGUAUUACUAAUCUCAAACAAAUCCUUAACCUCUCAUCUUUCUUAUUAAAUCCUGAUCUUACUUCAACGAUUCCAAAGGGGUGCUUGGCAGUUUAUAUUGGGGAGAGGCAAAGAAGCCGAUAUGUGGUACCUAUUUCAUACCUGAAUGAGCCUGCCUUUCAAGAUUUGUUAAGUCAAGCCGAGGAAGAAUUUNACAAAUUAUUAUAGUUAUUUUCUCUAAAGCAUAUCACUAAGCGUCUGAUGAUAAACCAAACCAAACCAAACCAAACAUACUCAGUAUAUCCCGCUUAGAGCAGGGUCUGAGGAGGGUAAGAUGUACGCAGCCUUGCCCCUGCCCUUAAAACAGAGAGGCUGUUUCCGUGAAGACCCCCGGCUUAGUGCACAAUAAAUAAUAUAGUGUGGGAUGUAAUAUUAAUAUACCUUAGCCCAUGGCCUUAUUCACAUGGGACUUACCUAAACAGUUCCCGUUUGUCGAUGAUGGGUGACAAUGAUUUGAAACGGAAAUAUCAAACUGGAUAAGAACCGCCACUAUUUGCACACUGUUUUAAAUUAACUUGAUUUCUUCUUGUGUAAUCCAUCUAUGUCGGUUUUGCUUAUUCACAUGGGACUUACCUAAACAGUUCCCGUUUGUCGAUGAUGGGUGACAAUGAUUUGAAACGGAAAUAUCAAACUGGAUAAGAACCGCCACUAUUUGCACACUGUUUUGAAUUAACUUGAUUUCUUCUUGUGUAAUCCAUCUAUGUCGGUUUUGCUUCAUCAAAUCCUUCGACGAAACAACAUUUGUGAUGAUCUGCACGCACUAAACCUUAUCAAAUCCUUCGACAAACCAACAUCCGUGAUGAUCCAUUAGUAUGCACUAAACCUUAUCAAAUCUUUCGACGAACCAACAUCCGUGAUGAUCCAUCUUACCAAAUCCUUCGACGAACCAACAUCCGUGAUGAUCUAUCUUACCAAAUCCUUCGACGAACCAACAUCCGUGAUGACCCAUUAGUACGCACUAAAUCUUACCAAAUCACGUACACUGCUAAAUUGUAGGGAGACACGCUAAAUUGUUGGGAGAGAUAGAUAAGUGACAGGGUAAAGUAAAUCGGUGUUCAAACCCGGAUGGUGGACUAAGAUCAUCGAUCAGAAUUGACUGAUGCUACACAAUUUGGAAACGAGUUCUUGUGUAGAUGAUUACAUAUGCGGUCAUAUUGUGUCAAAGUGCGGUGAUGAAAUCAGGGUCCAGGGAAGACCUUUUGGAUUAAGCGGUUUCAAAUGUUGUAUCAAAUUCUUCGGUGGCGGUUGAUAAUUAUUCCAAACCCAUAUUACUGGACACAAAAAUAUGCUCAAGAUCUGUCCAACUCUGAGGAACAAUAAUCCUGACAUACGAUUUCUGAAAUUUGCAGUAAGAAGAUGGACAUUUUCCAAAUAAAAUGUGUGCGUUGAGAGACUUGCACAAGAGGAGAAUUUGAUGGUAAAUUUGAAAGUGCAGAAGUUUCUGUGCCUGUAUUCCGUCUGAUGAUAAACAUUAUGCCAAAAAAAAAAUCACCAACAAAUUUAUAGUUACUCUUUUAUACUUGACUUAAUGACCUUUUAGCCCACGAAGUUUGGAUGGAUGUUCCGAUGCGGCCUCGAUGUUUAAAGUCGUUCGUUUCAACCCUCCAAGUUUUCCGAAUGUACCUUUCAUCCAAACUUCGAGGGUUAAAAGGUCAAUAAGCCUUUAUACUUACCAAUUGUUUGAAUAAUCAGCACCGACACAAGGUGAGUCUGCUAGCUCAAAAAUCAAAAUUUAGAUUUAUAAACAGUUCUAACUAAUUUAUAAAUAUAUCUCUUGCAUAGUUUAAAUCUAUGUAAGUCAUUUAUUAUCAUGAAUACUUCUUUUAAGUCAUUUAAUAUCACGAAUACUUCUGCUCCUCAGCCUACAGGGGGUAUUAGUUACCGCUUUGUGUAUCAACGUGUGCAAUAUUGCAGCUAUCGCGUUAAGUAUCGGGUCGAGGUAGUUCUUUUGCAAGAAUGAAACCUUUUGUUGUUGACCUACCCAAUCGAAAUAAUCAUAGGACUCGUGAUGAUCAACCUUCUGAAGAUCCCAUUGUAUUCCGGCUUUUCAACAAAUUAAGUUAAAAUUUUGUAAUUUUCCUGCAAAGCCUUCUAAUCUAAAAAAAAUUAAAAUAAAUACUGUACAUAAAAUUUUAUAAGAAAUUAACCGAAACUACCCUAACAAUUUCACAUUCUGCCUCAGAGAUCAGAAAUUCAAAUUUUAAGGUGUUUUUUGUUAACAGAUUAAGAUUGAUAUUUUGUUUUUUUUGUCAGGUAAAAUUGAUAUUUUAACCAUACUGAAAAAUGAAAUUUGCUACUAAACAUAUUUGAGAUAAGAACCAAUUUACAAAAAGUCUACAAGAAAGAAUAAUUUCAUGUAUUACUUGAUGCCUAAAAGAUUUACAUGGAAAGUCUCAGUCAUAUAUAAUAUGUCUGGACUAGUUCACAAAAUUUGUAAACUAUCUAAGAGCAUACCACUAUGUAUGUAUCUGUACACAUAUAUAUAAGCUCUCAUAAUCUGUUCAAGAGAUCAAUGAAGGUGUCUUCCUUGCAUGGAAUUGUGAGGCCACCUUCUGGAUGAGUAAACCCAAAUUCUUCCUCAGCUUGACUUAAAAGGUCUUGGAACGUAGGCUCAUUUAAGUAAGAGAUCGGAACUACAAAUCUUCUUCUUUGGUUCUCCCCUACAUAAACUGCCAUGCAUCCCUUGGGGACAUUUGUACUACGAUCAAGAUUUGUUG